rnacentral:tRNA from 1 species
AUCGGUAUAGCUCAAGUGGUAGAGUACCAGCUGAGUAAGCAUGAGGUCCAGGGUUCAAAUCCUAGUACCAAUA